AGCGAACGCUGGCGGCAGGCUUAACACAUGCAAGUCGAGCGGGCGUAGCAAUACGUCAGCGGCAGACGGGUGAGUAACGCGUGGGAACGUACCUUUUGGUUCGGAACAACACAGGGAAACUUGUGCUAAUACCGGAUAAGCCCUUACGGGGAAAGAUUUAUCGCCGAAAGAUCGGCCCGCGUCUGAUUAGCUAGUUGGUGAGGUAAUGGCUCACCAAGGCGACGAUCAGUAGCUGGUCUGAGAGGAUGAUCAGCCACAUUGGGACUGAGACACGGCCCAAACUCCUACGGGAGGCAGCAGUGGGGAAUAUUGGACAAUGGGGGCAACCCUGAUCCAGCCAUGCCGCGUGAGUGAUGAAGGCCCUAGGGUUGUAAAGCUCUUUUGUGCGGGAAGAUAAUGACGGUACCGCAAGAAUAAGCCCCGGCUAACUUCGUGCCAGCAGCCGCGG
rnacentral:rRNA from 1 species